rnacentral:misc_RNA from 1 species
GAUGAAGAACGCAGCGAAAUGCGAUACGUAAUGUGAAUUGCAGAAUUCAGUGAAUCAUCGAGUCUUUGAACGCACAUUGCGCCCCCUGGUAUUCCGGGGGGCAUGCCUGUCCGAGCGUCAUUGCUGCCCUCAAGCACGGCUUGUGUGUUGGGCCUCCGUCCUCCUCCCGGGGGACGGGCCCGAAAGGCAGUGGCGGCACCGCGUCCGGUCCUCGAGCGUAUGGGGCUUCGUCACCCGCUCUUGUAGGCCCGGCCGGCGCUUGCCGACACAUCAAUCUUUUUUCCAGGUUGACCUCGGAUCAGGUAGGGAUACCCGCUGAACUUAAGCAUAUCAAUAAGCGGAGGA